CACUUUUCUGCUUUAAAAAAUUUCUUUAAAACAUAUAAAUUUAUACUAAUAAUAAAUCAAUUAUUUAAUAACCAUGAAAUAUAUCUCAAGGAAAUAUAACCUUAAAAAGACAUCAUAAUAUUAACGUUAUGACAUUAAGAACUAAUAAUCAAGUGAGAAUUGGUAAUUUAAUCUCAAAUUUUUGCAUCUAAGAUUAAUUUUCCUCUACUGUACUACAGUAAAUUUUUACAGUAUAGUAAGUUUUUCAUAGUAGUCAUCCCUCAGUAUCCAUGAGGGAUUGGUUCCAGUAUCUUCUGUGAAUACCAAAAUCUGCAAAUGCUCAAAAGUUCCUCAUAUAAAAUGCACAAUACCUGCAUAUAGCCCUAUGCACUAUAUAGUACUUUAAAUCAUCUCUAGAUUACUUACAAUGCCUAUACAAUGUAAGUGCUAUGUAAACAGUUGCUAUACUGUAUUGUUUAUGUAAUAAUGACAAGAAAACAUGCCUGUACAUGUUCCGUACAGACUCAAUUUUUUUUUUCCAAAUAUUUUCACUCAGCAUUUGGUUGAAUCCAUGAUGCAGAACCCAUGUAUGUGAAAGGCUGACUGUAUCUACUUUACAAUUAAAAUGUAAAUGUCCCUUGGCUUAGUGCUAAUGUAAGAAGAAGGAGCAAUUUUAAAAAACGCAAUUCUUCUUAAUUUCAUACCUAAAUAUACUUAGUUAUAUAAUAACUGAAUCCAAAAAGCCAAAAUGACACUGCUCCUUUCACCUCCUAAAAUGACAAAUUUUCAAAUGCUAAUACCACUGGAAUCCAAGAUUUUGAAGAACAGCAGAGGAAUUUGGUAGAAAUGAGGUCACAAUUUUAGCUAAAGUCACAGCUUUUAAUAAAUGUUGACUGAAAUAUCCAGUUUAAAAGACUGUUAGUCAGUGUACUGUACCAUGUGACACUGAAGUAUGGUGACUCUGGCUUUAUGGAGUUAGGCUCCUUACUUUAUAACCACAUUUAGUAUGUGAUUCACACUUCUAUGGCACUGCAAUUACUCUUAACUUUCUUCUUGAUCUGAACUAUUGAGCAGAAAGCAAAAUUCACUUUGAGGAAAAUCAGUUUUGGAUACAAGAUUACAAUGAGACAUAAAACUGAGAAACAUCUACACUGCUAUGGAAAAAAGAUAAACCUACAGCAAACAGUAAAAGUUCUUCAGAGAAGAUAAGUGUCUGUUCAAGGUCUCUGAGCUGGUAAUUCACUAGCCAAGACUAGAAUAUAAGUGUUUGAUCUCCAGUUCAGCAUUCUUUAUACUAUACUGUCACCUUGUGUGAUUAUAACACUAUUUUGAAUAAACUGAAAUUUCAUA